rnacentral:misc_RNA from 1 species
AAAGUCGUAACAAGGUUUCUGUAGGUGAACCUGCAGAAGGAUCAUUAGUGAAUUUGACUGGGGGUCUCCCACUCUGUGGGCCCCAACCUCAUCUCACCGCAUCCUAACACCUGUGCACCUGUCGAGGCACGAAGGCCCAGCGCCUGAGAGCCCCGACGCUUCUCAACACAAACCCCGAGUUCAUUGUAUGUCUAUUCGAAACUUGCCUUUGGGCAUGAAGUAAAAUACAACUUUCGACAACGGAUCUCUUGGUUCUC